UCUAUUCCUUGAUAUGCACUUAAUUAUAUCUGUUCAUUGUUCACUAACCAUGUUUCAUGAUAGCGCAUUCGUGAUUGCCGCCCAGGUGCGCAUCUAUUCAUAUUUCGCCUAUUCUUUAUACAUGCUUUACUUCUCAUAUUGUGCAUGAUCGAUUUGAGUAUUCAUCGAUUUCCUCAUUGAUUGCCACGUCAGCUUCAGUCUAUUAGUAGAGACCCGACUUUAGGGACUUAGAGGGGUGCUACGGUCUUUACCGUACCUUCCCGAUAAGUAACCUGACCCCCGAACCCGAUCCGGUUUUCACAGACCGCCUUUUCCAAAAUAAGGAGUCACACUUAGGGUUUUUCUUUCUUAUUUUGUUUACCCUUUAAAAAUAAAACAAAAAUAAGUGGCGACUCCAAGUCAUUUUCAAAUAAUCAAUAAAAAUCAAUUUUUUCAAAGAAUAAAAUCGAGCUCGUCAUCGAGUGGGAAACGCAUUCGAGCGAUCGAAAAUGCGGGGUCCACAAAAUGGCGACUCCGCUGGGGAUAUCAAUAUGUCUCUUUAGGCUUGAGACUCUUUUUGAUGAGGAUGCACAGAUUGUAAAGAAUGCGGGGAUUGCUAGCUUUGCUUCAAUGAGGAUUUUCUGCUCUCCUCAGCAUUCGGGUAAUAAAGAUUUGAAGGACUCCACAGGGAUAUCUUUUAGAAGAUGUAUGCAGCCUGUAGAGAAGUGUUCAAGGGAUGUUUGGGAAUUAUUUCGAUCAGUUGAUGGUGCAGUACAUGGAUGGCCAGCCCAUAUAGCAAGAUCAUGUGGUUCAUUUGAAGAUGAGUUGUUGACAGAGCAGAUGUAGUGGCACUCCAGAUUGCAUUCUUACUCGGUUUUCCCUCAUCACCUUUUCACUUGUAUGUCAAUGCAUGGCUACCUUUGAGGAAUGUGCUAUCUCCUAUUCCCCUCUUUUAAUUUUUAAGAUAAUUGCCCCAAAUCCUAUUUUGUAAAUAUUCUCUCAAAUUCAGCUUUUCAAAUAAUCCCAACUCCUAUUUUCUAAUAAAACUUGGCUGCCUUUUUCUUUCUGGCAAGCCAUUUUCAAAUUUUCUUUGUUUUUUAAAAUGUUUUAAAAUAAGCAUGGAUUUAAUUCCGUAAUUCCGAAUAAUGGAAUUUAUGGGAUUAAUUCAUGCAAAAUAAAACGGGCUUUGGUGGGGGCCCUACAUCAAAUAAAUUUGCUUUGAAAUAAAAAUGAAUUUUGAAUGAAAUAUCAUGCGUGCUAUUGGUGCUUCUUUAUCUGUUUUGGUGACAUGAGUGACAUACUUUAUGUUUAUUACUAUGCACUAAUCUCAUUUUGUGAUAGCGCAUUGCCGUUUGCUGAUCAGGUAUACAUCCACUUCCACUUCGGUUAUCCUCUAUUGCAUAUUCUGAUACUCAUAUGUGCAUGAUUGAUUCGAGUAUUCAUUGAUUUUCUCAUUGAUUGCCAUGUCAACUUCAUCUCAUUAGUAGAGACCCGACCUUAGGGACUUAGAGGGGUGCUAUGGUCUUUACCGUACCUUCCCGAUAAGUAACCUGACCCCCGAACCCGAUCCGGUUUUCGUAGAUCACCUUUUCCAAAAUAAGGAGUCACACUUAGGGUUUUUCUUUCUUAUUUUGUUUACCCUUUAAAAAUAAAACAAAAAUAAGUGGCGACUCCAAGUCAUUUUCAAACAAUAAAUAAAAAUCAAUUUUUCAAAUAAAAA
rnacentral:lncRNA from 1 species